CAGCACCUCAAGUGGUCAGGAUGAUUAUUGGGCCUAAAGCAUCCGUAGCCGGCGCUGUAAGUUUUCGGUUAAAUCUGUACGCUCAACGUACAGGCUGCCGGGAAUACUGCAGCGCUAGGGAGUGGGAGAGGUAGACGGUACUCGGUAGGAAGGGGUAAAAUCCUUUGAUCUAUUGAUGACCACCUGUGGCGAAGGCGGUCUACCAGAACACGUCCGACGGUGAGGGAUGAAAGCUGGGGGAGCAAACCGGAUUAGAUACCCGAGUAGGCC
rnacentral:rRNA from 1 species